CUCCCACGCCACGUAGAGCCGAGCGGCCGGACAUACUCGGAAGAGACGGGUGGCAACGUGCCGACGGCGACGCGCGCAAAGGACGAGCACGCGGCGAGCUGGGGGGGCGCGCACCACACCCCAUGAUGGCCCGGAAGAAAAGAGGCGCGCUCCCACGCGUUCCCCAGGGAAAGGCCACGCCCCCACAUGGCUUCACAUCCAAUAGGGGCGAGAGGGAGGGGCAGCCUCGGUCUCGCUCCACGCAGGCUAUAAAGGGAGCUGCAGGCUGCGUGGCUCGUUCUUUUACGUCGGGAAGCUGAGGUUUUUCCUAUGUCUGAACAAUGACGCCAUCGUUUUCUGGGUCUUCGAAGCAGUUGCAAAGAAAUGCCCAGCAGCGAAUGCCAGUGAGUGAAAUGCCAGCUCCCUGUACAGUUACUAGAGCUCCUGGGAAUGCAUGGCCAGUGACACAAGUGAGAAUUGGAUGUUAUGACCGUCCAGAAAAGACAAGAUGAGAAAGUGCAGUAUUGACUGUCUUCAAACGCACCUGUCCUUGCUCAAGUGCUGGGAUUGUGUGCCAACGGCUAUGAUAGAUAUGAAUAGAGCACGAGAUAAUGUGCUUACAGAAAGUUGGUUGAAUUGAAUGCAAUUAAUGUUUGGAGGCACUUAGUCUUCUAGUGUUUGAAUGUGGAUGGAAUUAAAGCUGGGUUUGUAGUGAGCCAUUAGGAUUAUGGCAAAUGUCUAGUGUACAGAAUUCAGUGUAGGCCGGGAGUUGAGACUGGUGUGUGUUUAGUGGAUUAUCUGAUCAGCACAUGUGUGACAGUGUUGAUCACAAGUCAUUGCCAGCUCUGUUCAUUUUCUUCCCUGGUCUAACUCAAUAAUUGCCAUCAUGAAAAUUCUGGGUGACUUUUGUGACUAAAGUCCCAUUGUAAGCCACAUUCUUUGUCCAGCAGUGCUCACUGACUGCUGAAAUAAAUGUUCAUUUGCAACAACCAUUUCUUCAGUUCUUUUUCUUGGUGGGUCAACAGAAACUGACUGCCCCCUUAAUAGUUACAUGGUAUUUUGUCUUCAAGGUAGGUGAGCUAUCCCAACAGAUUCAACAACAAAUAGCGCUAUUGAGCACAAGAAAUCUAGCCUUGCAAGUGCUGGGAUUGAGGGCAUACAACACAUUUGAGAAAAACAUUGUGGUCAACUGGUUUUUGGUUUCAUGGGUUUGUGCUUUGAGAAGGGUCUAAUCCAAAAUGUCUUCUCAGCCCUGUGUCCUAAAAUAGUUAACAUGAAUAUUGAUUCAAGGUAUUGAUGCUUAAGUGAGCUAUCUUAAUUUUUAUGUGGGCAAAAUCUACGUUUUCUCCACCCUUCCAGGAGAUGUCCAAUUUUCCUUCCACACAGUGAAUCUUUAUUGGGAAAGAAGGCUGUGUGAAUGUGCAGUUUCUGGGUUCUUCUGUACCAUUGGCCUAUAUGCCUCAAGCCAGUGCUAUGCUGUUUGGGUGGAAUUAUUUCCAACCUAUAAACCAUUGAAAACGCUUAGCAAUUUGAGGGGUCUUGUAUAAGACCUGCUAACAAUGGCAGCUUAGAAUUCAGAAGCCCUCUUGCCUGGUUCCUGGAAGACUUUUUGCAAGGAGUGGGUCCUAUUUCCUCAGUGUCGGCUGCUGGCGUAUUAUCUGGCCUUUGUUAUCAAUACUGGAUCCUGUCAGAUGACUUCUAUUUUUGAAUCAGCUUAAAUUUUAAAGUAUUUUCUCAUUUUACAUUCUAAUCCCAGUUCCCACUCCCCUCCUGUUCUCCCCACCUUCCAACUAUUCCCCUCAGGAUAAGGCUUCCCAUGGGGAGUUAAAGAGAUUUUUUUUUUUUUCUGAGACAGGCCCUGGCUGUUGUGGAACCCUGUGUAGAACCAGGCUAUCUUAACUCAGGGAUCCACCUGCCUCUGGGACUAAAGGCAUGGUCUCCCUUGCCUGGAUGUUGUAUGUAGUGCUGGGACUUGAGCUCAGUGACUUAUACAUGUUGAUUGUUACAAACUUUGUUCCCUAGUACUGCUUUGCUGUGUUACAGGUUACUGAUUUCCAUGUAAAGUACAAAAGGAAUAUAUCUCAGGAGUUAAAUGCAGGAAGAUCACUUUGAGCCAGUUUGGGGCCAACAGACAACAGUGGGACCCUCAAAGAUGCACUUCAUGAUUAGUCAUGGAUAACGUGGAUGGGGCAAUAUUUUGAGUUUUUGUUGGUUCCCUAGUUCUUUGCUUUCUGCUUGAAUCUUUGUUUUAAUAGGCUUUAUAAAUUGUCAUUACCUUUUGAGGUAUUUAAAAUCAUUGUUUCAUUAACGGAUAGGUCUCAGGUUCAGAACAGGGUCAAGUACUAAUAGUACUGUACAGUAAAUUAUUUUAAAAAGUGUACCACAUGCCUUUAAUCGAAGCAGAGGCAGGUGGAUCUCUGAGUUCCAAAGCCAGCCUGUUGUGGAGUUGCAGGACAGCCAAGGCUAUACAGAGAAGCCCUGUCAGGGAGGAGGUAGGGACUUAAAGCGCAUUGCCCUUUCAUCCACGCUGGCAAACAGUUAAAUGCAAGGUAGGGUUGUGAGAUGAUGUUUGGAGCUCUCUCACCUCUUUAUGCAGUUCUUCCGUUGAUUUCCUUGCCUUCUAAUGGGUCUUCUGAUAUAUUCAGUUAGUUGGUCUAAAUUUCUGUGCAUGAGGAGCCCAAAGAUAAACAAUUUCACUAUUCUCUUUGUCAACAGUGAUAUAAGACACACACACACACACACAAAAAAAAAAAAAAAAAAAAAAAAAAAAAAAAAAAAAAAAAAAAAAAAAAGAAUCAAAAGCACAGCUUUUAAUCUAACAAGCAGAAGCAGGUGGGUCUCUGUAAAUUAAAGGCCGGCCAAGGCUCCAUACAAAAAACCUGUAUUAAAAAGGAAAGGGGGGAAGCAAAUUUACAGAAAUUAGAAACUUUGUUGAUCAAUUUGGAAGAGGAUCUCAUUAUGUAGACCUGGCUAACUUAUAACUCAUUCAGAACCAAGCUGGCUUUCCUCCUGUGGCAAUCCUGCCUCUCAAGGGUAGGGAUUAUAGGCAUGAGCCACCAUGGACAGAUUUUCUAUCAAAGGAUUGAACAAAUUGAGUCAAAACCAAUUCAAGUAUGUGCAUAAAGUUUAGUGUGGUUUAGAACCUCCUUGUGAUAAAUUGGGGGUGUUGGCAUUAGUGGAUGAAGAGUGGAAUAGAUAAGGCUGAAUGUUGAGCACAUUACUACAAUGUCUGAACAGUAGGGUUGAAACUAUAGAAAGUAAAAUUUGAAGACAUUGGAGGGAUGUGUGUAUGGGAUGGCGGUUGGGUGAUGAGUGCACAUGAAUGCAAUUGCCCUGUUAAACUAGACGAGUACGUCAGAUCUAGAUCUGGGAUUAGAGGCGUUUGAACUUGCCUACGUGGGUGCUAGCAACGGAACUUGGGUCUUCUGAAAGAAAAGUAAGCACUUUUAACCACUGAACCAUCUCCAUCCUGCCAUCAUUGGCUGAAGGAUUCAUACCUGAAUGAGAAACAAAUCCAAAAAGGCAUUUUAGUGGAACUAAAUCUUCUACAAACUAAUUUUAAUUCAGACCUUUUAAUACACACUGGAUGGCAUUUUUUUCAAUAAGCAAGAAAGACUAGUCUUAUAAUUUACAGACGUUGACUGUGUAAUUCUUUGUUUUUUUUUUUUUUUUGGAGGGGGAGGGUUGAGACAGG
ensembl:lncRNA